rnacentral:rRNA from 1 species
UACGUAGGGGGGCGAGCGUUGUCCGGAUUUAUUGGGCGUAAAGAGCGUGUAGGCGGCCAGGUAGGUCCGUUGUGAAAACUCGAGGCUCAACCUCGAGACGUCGGCGGAAACCCUCUGGCUAGAGUCCGGAAGAGGAGAGUGGAAUUCCUGGUGGUAGCGGUGAAAUGCGCAGAUAUCAGGAAGAACACCCGUGGCGAAGGCGGCUCUCUGGGACGGUACUGACGCUGAGACGCGAAAGCGUGGGGAGCAAACAGG